rnacentral:misc_RNA from 1 species
GUGAAUCAUCGAAUCUUUGAACGCAGAUUGCACUCUCCGGCUUUCCGGGAGAGUAUGCCUGUUUGAGGGUUAGCCUAAAAAAAAUCGACAUCGUUGCUGUUUCUUGGUGACUUUCGUCGGAGAUUGGGUUAUCUUAAACCCUUUCGGUUUAAGCGACUUAAAAUUUUGUUUUACGAUUCCACGAACGUUUCUAAGAUUUUUUUCUUUACACGUUUAAGGUGUCGAAUGCCUUUAUUAGACGUGACCGUCGCAUCGGAUUGCGUCCAUAAAUCUUUCAUUAACUGACCUCAAAUAGGUAAG